rnacentral:rRNA from 1 species
GAUGAACGCUAGCGGGAGGCCUAACACAUGCAAGCCGAGCGGUAUUGUUUCUUCGGAAAUGAGAGAGCGGCGUACGGGUGCGUAACACGUGUGCAACCUGCCUUUAUCUGGGGGAUAGCCUUUCGAAAGGAAGAUUAAUACUCCAUAAUAUAUUGAACGGCAUCGUUUAAUAUUGAAAGCUCCGGCGGAUAGAGAUGGGCACGCGCAAGAUUAGCUAGUUGGUGAGGUAACGGCUCACCAAGGCGAUGAUCUUUAGGGGGCCUGAGAGGGUGAUCCCCCACACUGGUACUGAGACACGGACCAGACUCCUACGGGAGGCAGCAGUGAGGAAUAUUGGUCAAUGGGUGCAAGCCUGAACCAGCCAUCCCGCGUGAAGGACGACUGCCCUAUGGGUUGUAAACUUCUUUUGUAUAGGGAUAAACCUACCCUCGUGAGGGUAGCUGAAGGUACUAGACGAAUAAGCACCGGCUAACUCCGUG